UACGAAGGGGACUAGCGUUGUUCGGAAUUACUGGGCGUAAAGCGCACGUAGGCGGAUUUGUAAGUCAGGGGUGAAAUCCCGGGGCUCAACCUCGGAACUGCCUUUGAUACUGCAAAUCUCGAGUCCGAUAGAGGUGGGUGGAAUUCCUAGUGUAGAGGUGAAAUUCGUAGAUAUUGGGAAGAACACCGGUGGCGAAGGCGGCCCACUGGAUCGGUACUGACGCUGAGGUGCGAAAGCGUGGGGAGCAAACAGG
rnacentral:rRNA from 1 species